rnacentral:lncRNA from 1 species
UUUUCUUUUUUUAUAAAAUGGGUCCAUUAGUCAAACAGGUCCCACUUGUCAGGUUCUGAUAAAUGGGUCCCAGCUAUUAGGCUCAGAUUCUUCAUAUUUCAAUUUGACAUCAUAUUUGAAUUUCAUAGUAAGAAAAUAACCAGUAUUUAAAUAGGCAAGCAGAAGACACACAUAAUUAUUCAAAUAACAAUAGCCAGAUUCACUACAAGCUCUACAAAUGACACGUAAUACAAGCUCUAACAUAUACAAUGCUUUACAAGCUCUACAAAUGCAAAGCUCUACAGUACUUUACAAGCUCUCCAAGUAAUGUUACAAGCUCUACAAGUGUUCUCUUCUUCAACAUGGAGCUCCUUCAACAACGAUCAAAUGUCGGACUCACGGACAGACAUAGUCAGGACUGGGCUGACAGAAAUACAACAUGCCUUCCACAGUCGCCCUGUUACAUGAAUCGGCUGAGAAGAAUCAGAAAAACUGGAUCCAAUAUAAUAUGAACAUUCCAUUCAAAAAAGGUAGUAAAGGGAUAAAGGACAAUUCUUUAUAUAAUGAUAAACAGAUUUCAGCUAGUACCAAUCUUUUUUAGCUGAGCUAGUUAAAAUGAUAUAUUCAUACAAGACAAUAGAGACUAUAUGAAUAUGAAUGGCACAAGUGCAGGUCCUAGUUACUGGCUACACAUGUAACACCAAUAAAUGGAUAGAACAAUAAUGGGAACAACUCCAGAUUACACACAAAGCUCUAUCCAUAGUGCCAGCUAUGGAUAAAAUCAUGCAAACUCCCAACAGAACUCAGUCACACAGUAUAAUUCUAACUAUAAUAUAACCAAGAACUAAAGAUUGUCACACAAUAUAAUUCUGACUAUAAUAUAACCAGAGAACUAAAGAUUCUACGUACUUAGAACUCAACUAAUAAGUGAGAAUGAUCUGAUUGUAUGCAAACAAUCUUUUUUUAUUUGUUUAUAUUACAAAAACAGACAUUUCUUCCUUUAUGUGAAGAAGUAUGCCUCCUUCUUUAGUUAGCAGUAAUCAUUCCAUGCAAAUCAACCGUGUGUGUGUGUGCUUGAUCAUGGUCUAGAUAUUACACGCAUAGAGGAACAGAAUCCUAAACAAAAUAGUAUCAAACAACGGUGGGUGCUCAACCUAUUUACCAUACACAAGCAACACUUAAAUCAUAGCAUGUGCAUAUACUUGUGUCACAUCAGGGGGUUCAGAAUGUACUCAGCAUAAUCUAAUAAAAAGGACUGGGAGCAGAGGGAGAGGGAGGUGGAGAUGGACGUGCUACCUGUUGCUGCGGUGGUGCCUCUUGGUGGUCGUGCUUGAGCUCCUCCUGAAGCUGCUCACUAACUUG